UGAGUACGAGACGCUAAGGUGUCGAAGUAGUGGAUGUCAUACUUCCAAGAAAAGCUUGCACUGUCAUAAAUAAAAGAUGCCUGUACCAUAACCGACACAGGUGGGUAAGUAGAGUAUACUAAGGGGCGCGAGAUAACUCUCUCUAAGGAACUCGGCAAAAUAACUCCGUAACUUCGGGAGAAGGAGUGCCUUAUUCUUAAGGUUGCAAUAACAAGAUCCAAGCAACUGUUUAUCAAAAACACAGGUCUCCGCUAAGUCGUAAGACGAUGUAUGGGGGCUGACGCCUGCCCAGUGCCAGAAGGUUAAAGAAGUCGGUUAGCAAUAGCAAAGCUGGUAACUGAAGCCCUGGUGAACGGCGGCCGUAACGAUAACGGUCCUAAGGUAGCGAAAUUCCUUGUCGGGUAAGUUCCGACCCGCACGAAAGGCGUAAUGAUUUGGAUGCUGUCUCGGAGAGGGGCUCGGUGAAAUAGACUUGUCUGUGAAGAUGCGGACUACCUGCACCAGGACAGAAAGACCCUAUGAAGCUUUACUGUAACUUGAAAUUGAAAUUGGACUUUAUUCGCGCAGUAUAGGUGGGAGGCGUUGAUUAUAAUCUUGUGGGAUUAUUGGAGCCAUCAGUGAGAUACCACUCUUGUAAUGUUAGAUUUCUAACUUUGAAUCAUUAUCUGGUCAAAGGACAGUUUCAGGCGGGCAGUUUGACUGGGGCGGUCGCCUCCUAAACGGUAACGGAGGCGUACAAAGGUUUCCUCUGAACGGUUAGAAAUCGUAUCUAGAGUGUAAAGGCAUAAGGAAGCUUGACUGUGAGACCUACAAGUCGAGCAGGGACGAAAGUCGGUCUUAGUGAUCUGACGGUACUGAGUGGAAAGGCCGUCACUCAACGGAUAAAAGUUACUCUAAGGAUAACAGGCUGAUCUCCCCCAAGAGUUCACAUCGACGGGGAGGUUUGGCACCUCGAUGUCGGCUCAUCGCAUCCUGGGGCGGUAGUACGUCCCAAGGGUUGGGCUGUUCGCCCAUGAAAGCGGUACGCGAGCUGGGUUCAGAACGUCGUGAGACAGUUCGGUCCAUAUCCGGUGUAGGCGCUAGAAUAUUGAGAGGAGCCUUCUUUAGUACGAGAGGACCGAGAAGGACAUACCUCUGGUGUACCAGUUAUCGUGCCAACGGUAAACGCUGGGUAGCUAUGUAUGGAGUGGAUAACCGCUGAAAGCAUCUAAGUGGGAAGCCCACCUCAAGAUAAGUAUUCUCAUCACGUAAGUGAGUAAGGUCACGGUAAGACUAACCGUUUGAUAGGCAUUAAGUGUAAGUACAGUAAUGUAUGUGCUGAGAUGUCCUAAUAGACCGAGGACUUG
rnacentral:rRNA from 1 species